AUUGCGCUAUGUAGAGAGCUCGGCCCUGUGCUCUUGGGGGGAGGUAGAGAUGCCAGUGCUCGACCUACCACUGGGAGAACAAGCCGGGUAAUAAACCCUUUCACCCCAAAGAAUGCUUUGCUGUCAAUUUCUUUGGUCACAUUGAAUGCAUAGUGAACUUGCCUGGGGGCUGAAACCCAUUGGCAAGACACUGGUCCUCUGCUGUUAGUCAUUGCCCCUGCUCAGUUCCUUCAGGCCCUCAUCAUCCUUGUUUCUUUUCUUUUCACCUGGUCUCCCUGCCUCUGGCUUCUUCCCCUUUCAGUUCAUUAUCCAUACCACCAUCAGGGUUGUUUUCCUAAAAUGCAAGUUUUCCAUUGUCAUUUUUCUGCAUGACAUAUCUCAGUGGUUCACCCUUAUUUCAGGAACAUCCCCAACCCUUGGAAUGGUCUAUAUCAUAAGGGUCUUUGGGAUCCACCCCUGCCUACCUCCCUAACUCUGUAUCCACUGCCGCCACCUUGCACCCUGCAUCAGAUACACCAAACUACAACCAUGCUGUGUGGUUUCAUGCCCUCAGGCUUUCGCACAUGCUGUUCCCUCUCCUUGGAAGACCCCUCUGCAUCUUGUCCUCUCAGCAAACUUGUAGUCAUCCUUUAAACAUGGACACAAAUAGCUCCUCCCUCAACCAUCCCAGAGUUAAUCACUGCUAAUACUUAUUUCUAUUUCUAUUGUUACUCUUAUUACUGUGCUGCUGGGAUUAGCUCUUCACCAUAGGCUCUUCAACCAGAUGCUCAGCAGCUUUAGGGCAACUGAGUCUCCUUCAUUUUCACAACUCUGGUGCCUAGCAAAGAGCUGGGCCAUCAUGGAACAAGAUGGAACAGUCAGCCGAGUCAAGCUCUGCCAGGGUACAGGGGCUCUCAGUCCUAGCCUCCCAUGCCGGUCACCUGGGGAACUGUAAAAAUACCCAUGUCUGGGCCCCACCCUAGGCCAGUUAAACCUGGCUAUCUGGGGCUGGGAUUGUAUGUUUUUUUUUUUAAGCUGCCAGGUGAUUCUACUGUGAAGCCAAGCUUAAGAAUUACUGAGGAGGUGAAGUGGAGGAAUCUGAGAGUCAAGAAACCUGAAUCCUAAACUCUACCGCUGAGUCUUUCAUUGCACAGCUUGGCAAAUUGAUUAUUCCUCUGGCCUCAUUUUCUUGUCUGUAAACUGGGAGUCCUGAAUCAGAAGAUCUCUAAGGACCAUGCCGCAUCACAGAGCCGUCUUGAGACGUCAGCAAGCGUUUCCAGGUCAAUUUCCAGUUUCUCCAGUAUUUUAAGCAAGGCAACUUUGUAACCCGCAUUCUAAAGCUGAAGGAAUUAAAUGACUUGCCCUGAGUCCACAGGAGAUGAGUCCACCAAAUUUUAAUUCAGUUUGAUUCAACAAAUACCGGUUGAAUACCUGUCAUGUGCCAUGCACAGGGCCGGGCACUGGAGGCUGGUAAAGACGUGAUCAUCUCUGCCUGGAGGGAUUUACAGACCUGGAAAACAGGCGACCUGGUUUGGCACGGGGAUCUCAAGAUAAAACCUCUAGGACUAUGCUCCUCUAUGUAGGAGCACUGUGAGGGACACGCCACCCUCAUUCAGCCACCCACAGCCAACUCUAGCCUGGUCUAGCAGAGAAUAAACAUUGCAUGUCAUAUUUGCAAACUCUAAGAUAUUUUUUGAGACCCUGCUAUGCAGUAGGUACUGAAUUAGGAGCUGGAGGUAUAUCCUGAACAAGACAGAUCUUUGAGCUUCUGGAGCUGACUUUCUUGUGGAGAGAUCUGCGUGGGGUAUGGAAAGAAACAAAAAGCAAGGCAACCGAUUUUGUCUGUCUUGUCUAUUCAGCACACACAACAGUGUCAAAAUUCAUUUGUUAAAUGAAAGAAUGAAGGAAUAAAUGAUGAAAGUAAUGAAAAAUGAGGUUUGGUACACCGGCAGGGCUCAAAUCAGAAGAGACAUUGACAACUAUUCUGAAGAGUGGACUUUAUCCUGAGCAGAAAAAUUACGUGAACAGAUUUGUAUCUAAGAAAACUCAAGCCAGUGGCUGUUUGGGGGAUCCACAAAAGGGUGAACAGCAGUAAGUUUCAAUAAGUCUAGUGGGAGAUGAUGGUGCCUGAAUCA